rnacentral:lncRNA from 1 species
AUUGCUUGUUUUAAUAUUUUAUUUUGAAUUAUGGAUUUUUAAAAAAAUACUAGUGGUAAAAAAUCAAUUUUUGGUAAGGUCUUUCAUAGAAAUAAAAAAAGUAAGGCUAGUACUAGUUCAUUACCGCCUAGAUUUAAUGAAACUUCAUUAUCACAACCUAAUGGUUUCGAUGUUGGUAUCGGUAUGGAAUUAGAUAAUGAUGCGAAAAUCCAUAAACAUUGUGAAACCAUAUUGCCAAAUUUUCACCAUUAGCAUGAGACUCAAAUUCAGUUCAUAUUCCACCAUUUAAACCAUAAAGAAGCCGACAGGCCCAUAGACCUUCAUGUUUUUGAGACCCUGAAUAGGCGUUAUAAUAAUUUUGAGGAAGACUUACCGGAGGAAGAUGAUAUAGAAGAACAAGAAUUAGGUGAUACCCCUAUCCCUACUAGUCCG